CCUACGGGGGACAGCAGUGGGGAAUAUUGCGCAAUGGGCGAAAGCCUGACGCAGCGACGCCGCGUGAGUGAAGAAGUAAUUCGUUAUGUAAAGCUCUAUCAGCAGGGAAGAAAAUGACGGUACCUGAGUAAGAAGCCCCGGCUAACUACGUGCCAGCAGCCGCGGUAAUACGUAGGGGGCAAGCGUUAUCCGGAUUUACUGGGUGUAAAGGGAGCGUAGACGGCAGUGCAAGUCUGGAGUGAAAGGCGGGGGCUCAACCCCCGGACUGCUCUGGAAACUGUACGGCUGGAGUGCAGGAGAGGUAAGUGGAAUUCCUAGUGUAGCGGUGAAAUGCGGAGAUAUUAGGAGGAACACCAGUGGCGAAGGCGGCUUACUGGACUGUAACUGACGUUGAGGCUCGAAAGCGUGGGGAGCAAACAGGAUUAGAUACCCCAGUAGUC
rnacentral:rRNA from 1 species